rnacentral:lncRNA from 1 species
UGUAGAUAACGUAGGCACGUGAAGUUCAUCAGAGGUCUACAUCAGAUACCAAGGCCAUUAUCAUAGCUGGUUGUUUUGAGUCUCUGAGUCAUAGUGCAGUUAUAAUUUGGCAUGUACAUAUUUAAUAGAGUGAGUUGUAAAGGUUAUGUAAUCAAAGAAUAGUAAGAUGUCAAAUAUCAGUUGAUAAUUUUUCAUGUGUUUUUCAUGUGCUAC